GAGAGUUGUUGUAUUGUCCCUGCUAACGAUGAUAGGGAUACUGGGUUAUCCGACCUUCU
rnacentral:tRNA from 1 species